GGGGUGUUAGCUCAGCAAUUGACUGCAGAUCAAUAGGUCUUCGGUUCAAAUCCGGAACGCCCCU
rnacentral:tRNA from 1 species